rnacentral:rRNA from 1 species
UUGCCAGCAGCCGCGGUAAUACAGAGGUCCCGAGCGUUGUUCGGAUUCACUGGGCGUAAAGGGUGCGUAGGUGGUGGGGUAAGUCUGAUGUGAAAUCUCUGAGCUCAACUCAGAAAUUGCAUUAGAAACUACCUUGCUAGAGGAUUGGAGGGGGGACUGGAAUUCUCGGUGUAGCAGUGAAAUGCGUAGAUAUCGAGAGGAACACCAGUGGCGAAGGCGAGUCCCUGGACAAUACCUGACACUGAGGCACGAAAGCUAGGGGAGCAAACAGGAUUAGAUACCCGAGUAGUCC